GGAUGUGAGGCCAUAUGGCUGUAACAUCUAUCACCCCACUGAUCUCCAAGAUUGUUGCAGCUAAUAUGUCUGGAUAAGUGUAUGUCCCCUUCCUCCCUCACUGCUCCAUGUGGGUCCCUUUCAAAGUUGUGUGCUCAGUUGAAAAGGACAACUUUCCCCAAAGAGGCUUACCAUUCGUCUGUCAAGGGUAUACAAGUAGCUGUGCUCCCCUGUUAGAACAAGCUCCCAAGGUCCAUUUGUAGGAGAACAUAGGGUAGUCAAGCUUCCAAGAUUCUAGACACAUCCAAAUGAGGUGCUGCAUGUGGAAAUUUGUCUUUUUUU
rnacentral:snRNA from 1 species